rnacentral:rRNA from 1 species
CGUGUAGGCGGUUUCGAAAGUCGGAUGUGAAAGCCCUGGGCUCAACCUAGGAAGUGCACUCGAAACUUCGAGACUUGAGAUCUGGAGAGGAAAGCGGAAUUCUCGGUGUAGAGGUGAAAUUCGUAGAUACCGAGAGGAACAUCGGUGGCGAAGGCGGCUUUCUGGACAGCAUCUGACGCUGAGACGCGAAAGCGUGGGAGCAAACA